UACAGAGGGUGCAAGCGUUGUUCGGAAUUAUUGGGCGUAAAGGGAGUGUAGGCGGUUCUUUAAGUCUCAUGUGAAAUCUGCGGGCUUAGCCUGUCAAAGUGCAUGGGAAACUGGAGAGCUUGAGUGUCGGAGAGGAAAGGGGAAUACCCGGUGUAGAGGUGAAAUUCGUAGAGAUCGGGUGGAACACCAGUGGCGAAGGCGCCUUUCUGGCUGACAACUGACGCUGAGACUCGAAAGCAUGGGGGAGCAAACAGG
rnacentral:rRNA from 1 species